UUUUGGGGCAGUUUAGGGCAGUUUUGGUGUGGUUUUGGGGUGUUUUGGGGUGUUUUGGUGUGGUUUGGGGUCAUUUUGGUGUGGUUUUGGGUCAUUUUUGGUUAUUUUGGGGGUAUUUUGGGUCAUUUUGGGGUAAUUCUGGGUGAUUUUGGGUCAUUUUGGGGUGAUUUUGGGUUUUUUUGGUACCAUUCCAGUAGUUGCAGAUGGAGACACCCUGGCCCAGGGGGGUGUAGCAGAGGCGGUAGAGGUUUUGGGGUCAUUUUGUGGCAUUUUGGGUCAUUUUGGGGUAUUUUGGGGUAAUUUUGGGGUGAUUUUGGGGAAUUUUGGUACCAUUCCAGUAGUUGCAGAUGGAGACGCCCUGGCCCAGGGGGGUGUAGCAGAGGCGGUAGAGGUUUUGGGGUCAUUUUGGGGCAUUUUGGGUCAUUUUGGGGUGAUUUUGGGUAAUUUUGGGGUCAUUUUUUGUCUUUUUGGGGUAUUUGGGGUGAUUUUGGGGCAGUUUAGGGCAGUUUUGGCGUGGUUUUGGGGUGUUUUGGGGCAUUUUGGUGUGGUUUGGGGUCAUUUUGUGGCAUUUUGGGUCAUUUUUGGUUAUUUUGGGGGUAUUUUGGGGGUGAUUUUGGGUUUUUUUGGUACCAUUCCAGUAGUUGCAGAUGGAGACACCCUGGCCCAGGGGGGUGUAGCAGAGGCGGUA
rnacentral:lncRNA from 1 species